AAAACCCUUUUUAAUUCAAAACUUUCAACAACGGAUCUCUUGGUUCUGGCAUCGAUGAAGAACGCAGCAAAAUGCGAUAAGUAAUGUGAAUUGCAGAAUUCAGUGAAUCAUCGAAUCUUUGAACGCACAUUGCGCCCGCCAGUAUUCUGGCGGGCAUGCCUGUUCGAGCGUCAUUUCAACCCUCAAGCACAGCUUGGUGUUGGGACUCGCGUUAAUUCGCGUUCCUCAAAUUGAUUGGCGGUCACGUCGAGCUUCCAUAGCGUAGUAGUAAAACCCUCGUUACUGGUAAUCGUCGCGGCCACGCCGUUAAACCCCAACUUCUGAAUGUUGACCUCGGAUCAGGUAGGAAUACCCGCUGAACUUAAGCAUAUCAAUAAGCGGAGGAAGU
rnacentral:rRNA from 1 species